rnacentral:rRNA from 1 species
UACGGGGGGGGGCAAGCGUUGUUCGGAAUUACUGGGCGUAAAGGGCUCGUAGGCGGCCAACUAAGUCGGAUGUGAAAUCCCCAAGCUUAACUUGGGAACUGCAUCCGAUACUGGAUGGCUUGAAUCCGGGAGAGGGAUGCAGAAUUCCAGGUGUAGCGGUGAAAUGCGUAGAUAUCUGGAGGAAUACCGGUGGCGAAGGCGGCAUCCUGGACCGGCAUUGACGCUGAGGAGCGAAAAGCUAGGGGAGCAAACGGG